UACAGAGGGGGCAAGCGUUGUUCGGAAUUACUGGGCGUAAAGGGCGCGUAGGCGGCCUGCUAAGUCGAACGUGAAAUCCCUGGGCUCAACCCAGGAACUGCGUCCGAUACUGGUUGGCUUGAAUCCGGGAGAGGGAUGUGGAAUUCCAGGUGUAGCGGUGAAAUGCGUAGAUAUCUGGAGGAACACCGGUGGCGAAGGCGACAUCCUGGACCGACAUUGACGCUGAACGGCGAAAGCUAGGGGAGCAAACGGG
rnacentral:rRNA from 1 species